rnacentral:rRNA from 1 species
CCCUUAGAUGUUCUGGGCUGCACGCGCGCUACACUGAUGCACUCAACGAGUUUAUAACCUUGCCCGGUAGGGUUGGGUAAUCUUUUGAAAGCGCAUCGUGAUGGGGAUAGAUUAUUGUAAUUAUUAAUCUUCAACGAGGAAUUCCUAGUAAGCGCUAGUCAUCAGCUAGUGCUGAUUACGUCCCUGCCCUUUGUGCACACCGCCCGUCGCUGCCUCCGAUUGAAUGAUCCGGUGAAGCGUUCGGACCGUGGCCUUUGGACGGUUCGCCGUCUGUUGGCUGCGGGAAGUUCGUUAAACCUUAUCAUUUAGAGGAAGGAGAAGUCGUAACA